GAUGAACGCUGGCGGCGUGCUUAACACAUGCAAGUCGAACGGAAGGGACCUGCUUUUGUAGGUUGCUCGAGUGGCGAACGGGUGAGUAACACGUAAGUAACCUGCCCUCGACUUUGGGAUUACUUCAUGAAACUGGGGCUUAUACCGGAUAGGAGCUCCUGCUGCCUGGUGGGGGUUGGAAAGUUUCGGAGGUGGGGGAUGGACUCGCGGGUUAGCAGCUUGUUGGUGGGGAAGUUGCUUACCAAGGGUUUGACGAGUCGCCGGCCUGAGAUGGGGACCGGGCAAAGGGGGACAGAGAUACGGCCGAGAGUACUAGGGAAUGCAGGGGUGGGGAAUAUUGCACAAUGGGCGAACGCCGGAUGAGGGAACGCGGCGUGCGGGAUGACGACCUUCGUUGUAAAGGCCGCUUGCGCCUGAGACAAAGCGUGAGUGACGGUAAUUUGUAAAGAAGCACCGGCUAACUACGUG
rnacentral:rRNA from 1 species